GAAUUACCUUUUUGUCUUUCUUUAUAAAAAAUGUGGGAAACUGCAAAAUAAAUAGUUGCACUGUUCAUAAAUAGGUGUAUUUGUGAGAUUGAUAUGUUUAUUGAGGCUACCUCAUACCUCAAUUUCUGUUGCCAAAUUUAGCAGAUACCAUGAGCUGUUAAGAUGAAGCAUCAAAAUUGAGGUAGUGAUUUCUUCCAGAGUAGUUAGCAGUUCCGGAGAUACAGCUAGAAAUAGAAACAUCUUUGCGUUUUCAAACAAACAAAUGCAACACCCCAAACUGAAUUAACCACAGGCCUCAGUAAAGAAAGAAUGGGAAAGUCCAAUCCCUUCCAUUUUGGUCUACAGUGAACAGAAAGAGAGAUGUGAAACAUAUCUAUCUAAUGCUCAGACUGUUGUCUUACCGUCUCUACAACCAGACAAGGUAUGGAAUGGUUAAAGGAGCUACCUGCUAAUUUUUCAUUCCUUUUCUCCUGCUUGACUUCUAAGCUGCUAGAAGCAGAAGCAUGGUUAGAAAAUAUGUAGCUUCAUGGAAGCUUUUGAAAUUAAACAAUUAUAAAGACAAUCAUGUUUUUCAGAAGCAAUAUUUUGAGAAACAGGAGACCUGGUUUCUGUAGAGAAGAAGGUCUACUAAUGGAGAUAGAAUGAAGCUGACCUGAGAGAGACCAUCUCAACCUGUGUGGAAUGUGUAGCUUUCAGCAGUGUUGAGGCCCCUGGCUCCAACUACCGUAGCCAGAUUGCCCUGCCCUGCCUGCACAUUUGGAUGUUCUUUGCAUGUCAGUAAUACAUCUACUAAAGCUGCAGCUGUGUUGUGCACUGAGAAGAGUUAUGAAGGUGGUGAUCAAGUCCCAACAGACACACAGGGGUGCACAGAAGAAGUCAGUCAGUACGAAGCACUAUCUUGCCACCUCCGGUAUCUCUGGCGCCCAAGUUUUCUUGAGACCAACACACAUGCCAGAUCACAGCUAUGAGUGAUUUGUAACCAAGUGAUAACUAAGUUCAAAUUAACAGUAAGUAAAUGUCACUAGCUUUAUCUUGGUGACGUAAAUAAAGGAUGGGUGUGGUGAGUAAGUUCUGUCCAAAAAAGGUUUCUAAUUUAUUCUUCCCACUGCAGUUGUUUUCCAGUUAGUACCAAUCUAGUAACAGUAGAGUUUAGUAUUUUCUUUCUCAGUUUUCAGACUUGCCUCUGAAAUCUCAUUCUUUCGUAG
ensembl:lncRNA